rnacentral:tRNA from 1 species
GUGAGCGUAGCUCAGUUGGUAGAGCAUCAGAUUGUGGCUCUGAGGGUCGCGGGUUCAAUCCCCGUCGCUCACCCCA